GCCCUGGGGCCCGGACCAGCCAGACCAGCCACACCUACCAGCCGAGCCAUGACAUGCGCAGGGUCUUCACGGUGCAGCGCGGCACCUCAGGGGGAUCCACUGGAGGGCGCAAGGGAGCCAGCGCCGCAGACCACGCCCACAGGGCCAGGGUCCAUGUCCGACCCCACCGCCCAGUCACCUACUUCGCCCACCCUGCAGCGAGGAAAGACCCUGAGGACCGACCAGCACCCAACCCUGCUGCUCCAUCCGCUGCCAACCAGCUGGCUAGCCUGACCCAGCCAGGGGGGGUGAAGAUCGACCAGUCCGACCCGACCACGGUGGAGGCUCUGGUGGGACAGACGGUAGUGUUACCUUGCAGAGUCUCUCCAGCUCCGUCCUCCACCAUCCUAGUGGAGUGGAGGAAGGAUGGAGUCCCUCUC
rnacentral:lncRNA from 13 species